rnacentral:snoRNA from 1 species
GUGCUUUACUUGAUUUAAAUUAUGUCGAGCUGAUAAUUAUUAUGAGGUUCGACAAUAGUUUCGAGUUUAGCUAUAAAAAUAAGUUUCCCUCGCUAUCCGAUGAUACUCUUUUCGUGCAUUUGGACGUCGGGGAACUACAUUU